AUUCACAUAGACCCCAAAUGCAUUGCAGAAUGUUGUUGUUCAUUUCCUAAUUAUUGUAUUCCAUUCUAAAUAUUAUAAAUAAAUUGCUCUUUCUUUCGCUUUUUGGCAUCUUAUUCUGGAUGAUUUAUAUACUGAGAUGUCAACUGCCCUGUUCACAUUAGGUGGGAAGAUUCACUACCACUAGGUCUUCUAUUAACUAAUUGAACGUGCCUUAAUUUUUAUUAGAGUACAAUAGUAAUAGCUUAUGUAAGAAGCUUUGCUUCUAGUAUAAAUAUAGAAGUCAAGUCAUAGUUGUAACUACCCUUUUACAAUACAAUAACAGAUUCAGUUACAUUUUCUCUCUUUCUCUCUCUCUCUCUCUCUCUCUCUCUCUCUCUCUCUAACCCUUUCUGGUUUUCUGUUAAUUUUGAAUAGAUAAUGUAUUAAAUUUCAUUAUGUUAGGGAUACAAACAAUGAACUAUCACCAGGCUUCAUGGUUUUCUAUGCUAUCUAUGACAACGACUGUAGGCGAAAUCAUACUAUUGUAGACUCUAAUAGCAGAAAAUUGAGUUAGAUUUGUUAUACUCUAACAUUAUAAUCCAGGUUAAGUGAUGGUAGGACGCAUAGCAAUAUGUUUUUGGUUAAUUGGCUCUAGAGUUUGGGUGGUCACAGAGGUUCUAGUUGCAAUUCCCAAGUUCUGUGUGAGAGCUUCACUACUAGCACUGAUCAUGGGGAAAAGACGAUUAUAAGGAAAGAGAAAGGGGUGCUUGCUGAUGUGGGUUGUCUUCAGAGCAAUACUCUGGACCUUGCUUGAAAAAUGGAUAAGAAGACCAAUUGAGAAAAUGUCUAUUUGUAUGAUUCUGGAAUUUUGUGCUUAUCAACAGAUAGAUGGCCAAUGAAACACCUGAUGAAGUAGCAGCUAUGUGUGCCCAUGUGAUACUGAGAUCAAAAUCAAUAUUCAAUGCCAGUAAGAUGUUGAAAAAAUUGGUGAGUAGUAUAACAAUAAGCUUUAAUCGGUAAAGUGAUAGUGUUUUUGUGAAACAUGAAUUAUUGGUGUGCCUCUAAGAUAAACAUUGAUUCCGUCUCUAUAUGUAUAUGUAGGGGAUGAUGGAUUCCGGAUUCUGUAUAAGCGUAGCUAUAUAAAAUGGUAGAAGACAUUAAAUCUAAAAUAUAGCUUGGUUGCAAGUUUGAUAGUUUAGAAGUUUCAUUCACUUAAUAUAUUUUUUUGGCACGGCCCUAAUUUGCAUUGUGUUUUGUCGCUGAUUGGGAACAUUGCACUUGGCCACAAUUUACUAUCAAUCCACAUGUUAUUUUUUAUUAACUGGUUAUAAUGAUUGUUACAACUUGAACAUAGAAAGGGAGCAAAAUGUUUAUCAUAAUUAAGAGAAUCUUAUAUAGUGCAUGGGGUAGUGUUCAGAGUUGAAACGAACCGGUAACUAUCUCGCUAUGUAAUUGGUAGCAUUGUUCAGAAUUUCAUAUCUAAUCUAACAUGCAUACAUGUUCAGAAUUUCAUAUCUACACUAUCAAUCCACAUGACAUUUACACGACAAAUGUA